GUACGGGAGGCAGCAGUGGGGAAUAUUGCGCAAUGGGCGAAAGCCUGACGCAGCAACGCCGCGUGGGGGAUGAAGGUUCUCGGAUUGUAAACCCCUUUCGACCGGAACGAAUCCCCUCCUGGUAAACAAUCAGGAGGAUCGACGGUACCGGGAGAAGAAGCCACGGCUAACUCUGUGCCAGCAGCCGCGGUAAGACAGAGGUGGCUAGCGUUGUUCGGAUUUAUUGGGCGUAAAGCGCACGCAGGCGGUUUGGUAAGUCAGGGGUGAAAGACUACGGCUUAACCGUGGUAUUGCCUUUGAUACUGCCUUUCUUGAGUACAGUAGGGGGAAGCGGAAUUCCGAGUGUAGAGGUGAAAUUCGUAGAUAUUCGGAGGAACACCGGUGGCGAAGGCGGCUUCCUGGACUGUAACUGACGCUCAUGUGCGAAAGCGUGGGGAGCAAACAGGAUUAGAUACCCCGGU
rnacentral:rRNA from 1 species